UGGGACCCACUUCAUUGGAAGGAGAGGGUGUCUCGGGUCGGCCACUCGAGUCUCAGUCGCUACCAUCGUCCAUGGAUGCUCCGCUGGGGCUCGGAUUCUCGCCGUUUUCUUCGACGGCUCCGCCCCGUUCGCGGCUGAGGAAAUCGCUGAGCAGGAGGCGGCGGAAGCUCUGCGCGACGCUCGCAUCCGUCGGUGAGCCCCCUCUCGAAUCGAGAAAUCCCUUUCCAGGGAAGCCAGAGGCAGAUAUAGUUGUUAUUGGAAGUGGUAUAGGCGGAUUAUGUUGUUCUGGACUUUCAGCUAGAUAUCAGCAAGAUGUUCUGGUUUUAGAAAGUCAUGAUCUUCCUGGAGGUGCUGCUCAUUCUUUUGACGUAAAAGGUUACAAAUUUGAUUCAGGACCAUCUCUGUUCUCUGGAUUUCAGUCGAGAGGACUUCAAGCUAAUCCUAUUGCACAGGUUCUUGAUGCACUGGGAGAAUCAAUUCCAUGUGCGAGUUACAAUUCAUGGAUGGUCUACAUUCCAGAAGGUGAAUUCCUGUCACGUAUUGGGCCUACAGAGUUUCUUAAGGACCUAGAGACAUAUGUAAGUCUUGAUGCUGUUCAUGAGUGGAAAAAGCUUCUUGAUGCAGUUCUCCCAUUAUCUUCAGCUGCAAUGGCUCUCCCCCCUCUUUCUAUACGAGGUGACUGGGGUGCUUUCUCAACUGCAGCAGCAAGAUAUGCUCCAUCACUCUUGAAGUCAUUCAUCCAGAUGGGGCCCCAAGGAGCUUUUGGUGCUAUGAAACUUUUGAGACCCUUCUCAGAGAUACUUGAUUCUCUUGAGCUAAAACAUCCCUUUAUCCGUAAUUGGGUGGAUCUGUUAUGUUUUCUACUUGCGGGAGUUAAAUCUGAUGGCAUAAUUUCAGCAGAAAUUGUGUAUAUGUUUGCUGAAUGGUAUAAACCAGGAUGUGUCCUUGAAUAUCCAUUGGAUGGAAGUGGAGCAGUAGUUGAUGCUCUUGUUCGAGGAUUGAAAAAGUUUGGGGGAAGGCUUGCACUGGGUGCUCAUGUCGACAAAAUUGUCAUUGAAAAUGGUCGAGCUACUGGUGUCAAAUUAAGAAGUGGGCAGUUUAUUCGUGCCAAAAAGGCUGUUGUAAGCAAUGCAUCUAUGUGGGACACCCUCAAUUUGCUUCCAGUAGAAUCUGUCCCCAAAACUUAUAGAGAUCAGGUUCAAGCAACCCCUCAGUGUGAAUCAUUUAUGCACCUUCAUUUGGGUUUUGAUGCACAGAAUUUACCAGAAAACUUGGGGAUCCAUCACAUAGUUGUUGAUGACUGGAGCAGGGGUGUAGAUGCUGAUCAGAAUGUUGUAUUAAUUUCGAUUCCAAGUGUACAUGGUAAGGGAUUAGCACCUCCUGGAAAGCACGUCUUGCAUGCUUAUACUCCAGGAACAGAACCCUUUGGAUUGUGGGAAGGGCUUGAUCGUAGAAGCAUAGUAUACCGAAAACUAAAAGAAGAAAGAUCAGAGGUGAUGUGGAGAGCAGUUGAGCGUGUCCUUGGCCCUGGAUUUAGCCGUGAGAAAUGUGACGUGAAAUUAGUUGGAACACCAUUGACUCAUCGAAGGUUUCUCAGGAGGAACCGAGGAACAUAUGGGCCAGCCAUAAAGGCAGGAAAAGGGACUUUCCCUGGCCAUUCGACACCAAUUCUGCAGCUAUUUUGUUGCGGCGAUUCAACUUUCCCAGGCAUUGGUGUUCCAGCAGUGGCAGCUAGUGGUGCCAUUGUCGCCAACACUUUGGUGUCCGUCAAGCAGCACUCUGAGCUUCUCGAUGCCAUUGGCAUUUGACUGCUCUUCCACCAAGUUUGAAGGGCAGUAGAAAUGACAUGCAUUCAAGCUAGAGAUCGCGAUGGAAGUGCUUCAAACCGAGAAAGAACAGCUACCUCACAACGACGUAUAUUCAAUUGAUGAUUGGAUUUGCCGUCCAAUUGAGAAUAGAACAAGAAAAAGUAAGGAAGCAUUUGUUAGGUUCUUGGGCCUUUGAUAGUUUUCACAUGAGUUAGAACCACAAGAAAGAACAGAACUUGUGAUUUACGCACAAAAAUCAAGAGGAAUGGAGUUCCUACCACUCUAAAGAAAACGAACAAGAAGGUGGCUUGAGUGAGGAAAGCCUCAGCUUAGACAUGCACAUGCACUACCUUCCUUAUCUCUUCUGCCACCUUCACUAUCCUCUUCAGUCUCCAGCUGUUCUCCCUCACUAACUACUUGCUGUCCCAGCUUGUUCCACCGCCGCAACUCCGGUGGUGAAGGAGAACGACAGGCCUUGAGGGGCACUUGUUUUCCUGAUCAAUGCAAACCUGCAUUUGGUGGUGGAUGUUGUUGGGAAGGAAUUAGUGUUUGUGCGGUUGUAGAAGGGGAAGUGAGAAUUAUGAGGAAGUUGUUAAGGGAAGGUUUUGAUUUUUUUGCAAAAAUAGAAAGAAUUGUGUCUUGUGUGCCCGAGAGGCCGAGAGAGGAGAGGCAUUAAGAACCUUACAAUUUUGCGUUUUCAUUGCAGAGGAAGCUAAUUGAAGUGGACCUCAAAAAUUAAUCUUUAUUAUCA